rnacentral:rRNA from 1 species
GACGGAGGGUGCUAGCGUUGUUCGGAAUUACUGGGCGUAAAGGGCGCGUAGGCGGCCGCUUGCGUCGGAUGUGAAAGCCCGGGGCUCAACCCCGGAACGGCAUCCGAUACGGGGCGGCUCGAGACCGGGAGAGGAGGGUGGAAUACCCAGUGUAGAGGUGAAAUGCGCAGAUAUCAGGAGGAACACCGGUGGCGAAGGCGGGUCUCUGGGCCGUUACUGACGCUGAGGAGCGAAAGCGUGGGGAGCGAACAGG